rnacentral:rRNA from 1 species
GACGAACGCUGGCGGCGUGCUUAACACAUGCCAGUCGUACGGUAAGGCCCUUUCGGGGGUACACGAGUGGCGAACGGGUGAGUAACACGUGAGUAACCUGCCCACAACUUUGGGAUAACGCUAGGAAACUGGUGCUAAUACUGGAUAUGUGCUCCUGCUGCAUGGUGGGGGUUGGAAAGCUCCGGCGGUUGUGGAUGGACUCGCGGCCUAUCAGCUUGUUGGUGGGGUAGUGGCCUACCAAGGCGGCGACGGGUAGCCGGCCUGAGAGGGUGACCGGCCACAUUGGGACUGAGAUACGGCCCAGACUCCUACGGGAGGCAGCAGUGGGGAAUAUUGCACAAUGGGCGCAAGCCUGAUGCAGCAACGCCGCGUGCGGGAUGACGGCCUUCGGGUUGUAAACCGCUUUCAGCAGGGACGAAGCUUUUGUGACGGUACCUGCAGAAGAAGCACCGGCUAACUACGUG